rnacentral:rRNA from 1 species
CUCCUACGGGAGGCAGCAGUGGGGAAUAUUGGACAAUGGGCGCAAGCCUGAUCCAGCCAUGCCGCGUGUGUGAAGAAGGCCUUUUGGUUGUAAAGCACUUUAAGCGGGGAGGAGGCAACUUGGGUUAAUACCCCGAUGUUGCGGACGUUACCCGCAGAAUAAGCACCGGCUAACUCUGUGCCAGCAGCCGCGGUAAUACAGAGGGUGCGAGCGUUAAUCGGAAUUACUGGGCGUAAAGCGCGCGUAGGCGGCUUGUUAAGUCGGAUGUGAAAUCCCUGGGCUCAACCUAGGAACUGCAUUCGAUACUGGCAAGCUAGAGUGUGGGAGAGGAAGGUAGAAUUCCAGGUGUAGCGGUGAAAUGCGUAGAGAUCUGGAGGAAUACCGAUGGCGAAGGCAGCCUUCUGGCCUAACACUGACGCUGAGGUGCGAAAGCAUGGGGAGCAAACAGGAUUAGAUACCCUGGUAGUCCAUGCCGUAAACGAUGUCAACUAGCCGUUGGGCCCCUUGAGGGUUUAGUGGCGCAGCUAACGCGAUAAGUUGACCGCCUGGGGAGUACGGCCGCAAGGUUAAAACUCAAAUGAAUUGACGGGGGCCCGCACAAGCGGUGGAGCAUGUGGUUUAAUUCGAUGCAACGCGAA